CCUACGGGCGGCAGCAGUGGGGAAUAUUGGACAAUGGGGGGAACUCUGAUCCAGCGACGCCGCGUGAGUGAAGAAGUAUUUCGGUAUGUAAAGCUCUAUCAGUAGGGAAGAAAAUGACGGUACCUGACUAAGAAGCCCCGGCUAAAUACGUGCCAGCAGCCGCGGGAAUACGUAGGGGGCAAGCGUUAUCCGGAUUUACCGGGCGUUAAGGGAGCGUAGACGGUGCAGCAAGUCUGGUGUGAAAGGUCGGGGCCCAACCCCGGGCCGGCAGUGGAAACUGGUGAACUGGAGUAGGCGAGAGGUAAGCGGAAUGCGUAGUGUAGCGGUGAAAUGCGUAGAUAUUGGGAGGAACACCGGUUGCGAAGGCAGCUUACUGGACUGAAACUGACGUUGAGGCACGAAAGCGUGGGGAGCGAACAGGAUUAGAUACCCUUGUAGUC
rnacentral:rRNA from 1 species